GAACGCUGGCGGCAGGCUUAACACAUGCAAGUCGAACGAUAUAGUGGCAGACGGGUGAGUAACGCGUGGGAACGUACCUUUCACUACGGAAUAGCUCUUGGAAACGAGUGGUAAUACCGUAUACGCCCUCCGGGGGAAAGAUUUAUCGGUGAAAGAUCGGCCCGCGUUAGAUUAGCUAGUUGGUAGGGUAAUGGCCUACCAAGGCGACGAUCUAUAGCUGGUCUGAGAGGAUGAUCAGCCACACUGGGACUGAGACACGGCCCAGACUCCUACGGGAGGCAGCAGUGGGGAAUCUUGCACAAUGGGCGAAAGCCUGAUGCAGCCAUGCCGCGUGAAUGAUGAAGGCCUUAGGGUUGUAAAAUUCUUUCGCUAGGGAUGA
rnacentral:rRNA from 1 species